rnacentral:rRNA from 1 species
UACGUAGGAUGCAAGCGUUAUCCGGAAUUACUGGGCGUAAAGCGUCUGUAGGCGGCUUAAAAAGUCUACUGUUAAAGAUUGAAGCUUAACUUCAAAAAUGCCGUGGAAACUUUUAAACUUGAGUAUGAUAGGGGUAGAGGGAAUUUCCAGUGGAGCGGUGAAAUGCGUAGAUAUUGGAAAGACCACCAAUGGCGAAGGCACUCUACUGGGCCAUUACUGACACUGAGAGACGAAAGCUAGGGGAGCAAAUGGG